GAUUGAACGCUGGCGGCGUGCUUAACACAUUGCAAGUCGAACCGAAGAUUAUGGAGAGCUUGCUCAAAGUAAUCUUAGUGGCGGACGGGUGAGUAACGUGUGGGCAACCUGCCUUUUACUGGGGAAUAAUCACUGGAAACGGUGACUAAUACCGCAUGUCAUCACGGGAGGGCAUCCUCCUGUGAGAAAAGGAUUUAUUCGGUAAAAGAUGGGCCCGCAUCUGAUUAGGUAGUUGGUGAGAUAAUAGCCCACCAAGCCGACGAUCAGUAGCCGACCUGAGAGGGUGAUCGGCCACAUUGGGACUGAGACACGGGCCCAAACUCCUACGGGAGGCAGCAGUGGGGAAUAUUGCACAAUGGGGGAAACCCCUGAUGCAGCAACGCCGCGUGAAGGAAGAAGGUUUUCGGAUCGUAAACUUCUAUCAAUAGGGACGAACAAAUGACGGUACCUAAAUAAGAAGCCCCGGCUAACUACGUG
rnacentral:rRNA from 1 species